rnacentral:lncRNA from 1 species
UGCCUGGUUGCCUCGUGCUCCCCUUGGCUGCCUCCUGGUGCCCCUCUAUGGCCUAUAAUUCACAUAUAUUCCGAAAAACCUAGAGAUCCUCCUAAAACACUUUUUCCACCGCCGUAAGUCUCUGUUCUGCCGUGUGCUCAUCUCGAGCCUGUUUUGGUGCCCUGUCGGAGGGGGAGGGGGUCAAUCACGGAGGGCCUCUAUAUCAUCCUUGCUGCUCCCAUGGUGAUGUGUGAGUAGUUCACCACAGACCUACGGGUCCCUAGUUAAUACCUAGAUGGCUCUCUCUCUCUUGAUCUUCAAUACAAUGAUCAUCGCAUCUUUGAUUUGAUGUAUCUGAUGUAAUUCUUUUGUGCGAUGCGUUUGUUGGGACCCGAUGAAUUGUGGGUUUAUGUUCAGAUUAUUCAUGAUUAUUCAUCAUGAUAAAUUGUGUAAAUGUGAUGUUCAGAUUAUUCAUGAUAAACCC